rnacentral:tRNA from 1 species
GGCUUCGUAGCUCAGCUGGAACAGCGCUUGUCGUGUUGAGGCAUGGCGUUUCUGUUGCUGGUUCAAAUCCAGCCGAAGCUU